rnacentral:rRNA from 1 species
GUAACGGCUCACCAAGGCUGCGAUGUCUAGGGGUUCUGAGAGGAUUCACCCCCACACUGGUACUGAGACACGGACCAGACUCCUACGGGAGGCAGCAGUAAGGAAUAUUGGUCAAUGGACGCAAGUCUGAACCAGCCAUGCCGCGUGCAGGAAGACAGCCCUACGGGUUGUAAACUGCUUUUGUACGGGAAAAAACCUCCGGUCGUGCACCGGAGCUGAUGGUACCGUAAGAAUAAGCAUCGGCUAACUCCGUGCCAGCAGCCGCGGUAAUACGGAGGAUGCAAGCGUUAUCCGGAUUCAUUGGGUUUAAAGGGUGCGCAGGCGGAAUGAUCAGUCAGUGGUGAAAUCCUACGGCUUAACCGUAGAACUGCCAUUGAUACUGUCAUUCUUGAGUAUAAUUGACGUGGGCGGAAUGUGUCAUGUAGCGGUGAAAUGCUUAGAUAUGACACAGAACACCGAUCGCGAAGGCAGCUCACAAAGCUAUAACUGACGCUCAGGCACGAAAGCGUGGGGAUCAAACAGGAUUAGAUACCCUGGUAGUCCACGCCGUAAACGAUGAUUACUCGAUGUUGGCGAUACACUGUCAGCGUCUGAACGAAAGUAUUAAGUAAUCCACCUGGGGAGUACGGUCGCAAGACUGAAACUCAAAUGAAUUGACGG